UACGUAGGUGACAAGCGUUGUCCGGAUUUACUGGGCGUAAAGAGCGCGCAGGCGGUCGUCAAGUCGAGUGUGAAAGCCCCCGGCUCAACUGGGGGAGGGUCAUUCGAUACUGAUCGACUCGAAGGCAGGAGAGGGUAGUGGAAUUCCCGGUGUAGUGGUGAAAUGCGUAGAUAUCGGGAGGAACACCAGUGGCGAAGGCGACUACCUGGCCUGUUCUUGACGCUGAGGCGCGAAAGCUAGGGGAGCAAACGGG
rnacentral:rRNA from 1 species